CUGCCAGUAGUCAUACGCUCGUCUCAAAGAUUAAGCCAUGCAUGUGUAAGUAUAAAUAAUUCUACUUUGAAACUGCGAAUGGCUCAUUAUAUCAGUUAUAGUUUAUUAGAAAUAGUGUACUACUUGGAUAACCGUAGUAAUUCUAGGGCUAAUACAUGAGUAAAUCCUCGACUUUUGAAGAGGUGUGUUUAUUAGUAUGAAAACCAUAUGCUUUUGCAUGAUAGUGAGUAAUAAUAACCUUUCAUAUCGCCUGUUUUAAAUAGCGAUAGUUCUUUCAAGUUUCUGCCCUAUCAGCUUUCGAUGGUAGUGUAUUGGACUACCAUGGCAGUAACGGGUAACGAAGAAUUUGGGUUCGAUUUCGGAGAGGGAGCCUGAGAGAUGGCUACCACAUCCAAGGAAGGCAGCAGGCGCGUAAAUUACCCAAUCCUGACAUAGGGAGGUAGUGACAAUAAAUCACAAUGCGGGACUAUUUAGUUUUGCAAUUGAAUUGAGAACAAUGUACAAGAGUUAUCGAUAAACAAUUGGAGGGCAAGUCUGGUGCCAGCAGCCGCGGUAAU
rnacentral:rRNA from 1 species